UCUGCUGUGUCUGUUUGUGUGUGCCUCUUGGGUGAGAGAAGAGGGAGACGUGGGGUGGAUCGUGGUGGCGCCGCCUGCGCUUUCUCCUCCCUGCUCUCCACUAGGCCGCCUCCUACCCUUCACUUUUCUCUCCGGCGACGGCGACGGCGACGACCUGCAGACAAAAGGAGAAGGCGGUGACGGCGGGAGAGAGAAGAUGAGAGGGAGAGAGAAAAGGAAGGAGAGGAGGGAGAAAGAGAGAGGAAAGAGGAGAGGCCUUGGUGGUCCAGGGAGGCGUAUACGUAGAUGGCAGCCUCCGCCCUGAGCUCCAUCGGAUCCGCCGCCUUGUGAAGUCAUCCCAGGCCCCACGAACUCCAGGCUUCUGGCGCCGCCUGCAAGUCCUUGGGGAUAAGUAGGAGGAGUCACGGAUGAGGAGGAAGGAGAUCAGCAGCAGCAGGAGAUAUUCUUGUUCGAUUUGGUUCUCAUGGUGGCAUCUUCCCUACUGUCUCCUUUCUUUUUAGUUUCCAACUUUGAUGCUUGGAUUUGUUGUCUUGGCCAGCUAGCUGGAGUAGGAGGAGAGGAGACAGGCAGGAUGAGAAAGGAGACAAGCAGGAGGAAGAGAGAUUCUUGGGGGUUUGCUUUGCUCGCCUUAUGGAACAGGCUCUUCUGCGGGCAUCAGUUGCUUUGGAAUUGUUCAGAAUCGUUUGCUAUCAUGUAUACUAAGUGCGUAACUACUUUGGGGAAACAUGCUAGGAUUUGGAGUGCCAUGGCUUCCAAUCUUAAAAAUCAGCCGUGAAUGGUUUUCAACAAGAAACUUCAUGCUCACAAAGAGAGUUAUGGAGAUCAGGAGUAGAAAUUUUAUUAGUUUGUGCUCCGGGAGGAAUUGCAGCUGCGGACAAUUAGAUGAUUGCCAUGGAGGCUUGCAGAACCAGUGGUUACCUUGGCUGUGGCCUGCGAGGGGUGUGGCUUGCUGAAAAAUAGGCUUUUUUUGGUAGCUCCAGGUAUACAGGUAUUACAUUUGAAAUGAAGCUUUUAAUGUCAUUUUUUUUUUCACAUCUGAAUGAUUCUGAAUGUAUCCAAGUCUAUUCUCUACAAGUCAGAUUCUUGAUUCCUCUAAAUUUGCCUUAUUUGAAACACACAAAAUCAAUAUCAUAGAUAAAUAAAAUAUUCCAGGUAAGUUUCCAUUCAUAGGAUCAUCAGCUCCAUUCUCUUUGGUCGUAAUGCUAGGCUGCAGGUUGAUAUCUUCAUUGGUAGUCUACCAGGUUCUUCAAUUCUUUCUUAAGUUCUCUAUACUGAAGCAGCUAGGAUGGCAAGGCAUUUCGUUGAAGCUCUCACCUUGAUAAUAGUUAUAUGAUGUCUACUAUGUGUUUUGCUUAGGUUUGUCAUGGAAGUACUCUCUGUUCUCUAACUUUCUCAGUCGAUGCAAAUGUAAGUUUCUUGAGUGAAGUCAAGUUUGCUUAGUGAUAUGCAUAUCUUUGUCACUGAGGAUCGGUCUAAAAAAGUAAAAGAGUGAAGAUCAGUUUCAGUCAGUGACAAAUAACGUGAAAUCAUACAUGGCAAACUAACAAGCGAUACAUCGUGUCGUGUCCCAGUCCUACUGUUCAUUACCAAUUACACUGUUUUUCUGACAAUCAAAGCUCAUAUUUUACAUAAAAAUGGUUAUAUAUUCCUGUCAAUCCUGCAUAGAUGCACUUCUAUUCUGAUAAAUGGGCUAUUCGCUUUAAAAGUAAGAUUCCCUUGGUAGCUUCACUUCAGUUGUAUCUCCGUACAUACAUGAGUGUUUCUUCCUUCCAUUUACAUGAGAGCAAAAUAAGGCAUGUCAAGUUAAAUCUUUGAUACAUUGUACGUGUUAACUGAAAGAGAAAUUCUAGAUGUGUACUUCCGGCCCUUUGUGUGAUUGUUCUAUGGUGAGGCUGCACCUCUUUUGUUGUCUUACGCGUGAUGUACUUGGUCAUGUCACAGCUCUUAGUUUUUUGAAUAUAGCGUCUGUCUACCAGUUGUUUCAUAUUCCUGGUUGUUUCUUUUGAUAAUUCUGUGAAUUCUUCCGAUAUUGGUUGUCCCUUAAUAUAGCACGCUUCUAUAUGCCAGUCGUUUGAUAUUUAAUUAAGUAAGGAAUUGUCAGGCUACUUGGAAGGAGUUCGUGUGAUGUCUAACCAAGUUCAGCAAGUUGCUGGAGCUGCGCUAGAGCCUGCUGUUUCAAUGAACACCUAUAACCUUAAAAAGACUCUUACAGAGGUUUAUGAUGCUAUAGCAAAACUGCAGCAACUUACUGAUGCAGUCAGUCUCUCCUUACAAAAGUAAGGCACGUAUCCAUAUUAUGUUGAGUCCAGUUCAACACAAAAUGGAUAUUCUGCUGAUGAUAUGGAUGGUGAGUAUAACAACUACUAUUAGACGAGCUCUGUCGACAUGCACCCGCCAUAGGGGCUAAUAGUGCUUAGACGUUGUGGCGUACCUUGCCUUCCUCUAUCAUGAUCAAUGUUGCUAUGCAUAAUAUAUGUUACCAAGUAGCCAUCUUGGUAAGCUAUCAACAAUAAAUUGCAAUCAAUGAUGAAUAAUAUAUGUUGUACUUGCUUAAGCCACUUUUUAUGUUGCGUAUUCUAUUUGAAUAUGCUAUGUACUCCCUCUGUAAACUAAUAUAAGAGUGUUUAGAUCACUAUUUUAGUGAUCUAAAUGCUCUCAUAUUAGUUUACGGAGGGAGUAAUAACCACUUAAACUUCCAUCAACAGUUUUUCUAAAUCAGUAUGUGUCUGUGUGCUUGUUAUUAAUUCGAGUUUAUUAUACUUUGUGCUAAUGUCAUGGCAAUCAAGGGAUUGGACAGUUCGAUUCCACAGGUGGCUUCUCACCAAACCAGGUUGCCGUAGACACCAUCGGCUUCAAUCUCAUGGACGGCGAGAAACCAGAUAUACAUGGCUUAAGAUGGAGGCUUGCACACUCAGGGUAGGUGGUCAAAGCCCUCUUCUAUUGUUGUGGCACUGGUGAGCUUGCACGGAGUAGCAGCCUGGAGAGGCGGCCGACGGUGCACUUGUGAAGCAACAAUAAACACGUCUCAUGCCAACACGCCAAGAUGAGCUUCACCCAAUCCCUCUCUCUGUAUAUAUGCAAGCUUGUGUGAUGUGCUCUGCUUCCUCCUCCCUUUUUUUAAUUAAUGGAUCUCUCACUGAGCAGAGCAUGUUGUUUAGGUUGGCAGCAUAAAUGAUAUAGCUAAGUUAUCUUCACCAAAGACAGAUUUUGGUAUGUGCAUUUGGGCCUUUUUGCCCUUCUUGUUCAAGAAAACAGGAUCCUGAUGAAUGUAAUGAUGUUGGACAAAGGGCGAUUUCUCAUGAUUGGGAGAGCCUUGCUGAUUCAUUUCGACCACAGUACCAGAACCCAGGUGAAUGCAGUUGACUCUUGAAGAUCGAGGGCACCAAAGACAUAUGCCGAGGCCGUCCAUCGACAACCUACCCAAGGUCCGGAUUCAUCGAGGAGUACAACAGGAGACGCUGUCGGCUGCCUGCAGCUGUGCCCCUCACUCUGUUGAGCAUGUUUUUGUUGCACCGGUUAGUUGUUAAAGUGCAUGUAUUUCAGCCCAUCAUCAGGAAUUAGGAGUUUCUUCACGAUGCCACUUCCCACCUCGAAAGGCGUCGAUGUCGGCGAUCCAGUUUAUGUUCUGCAUGCAUCACUUCUUCAAAUGAAACCCCAACCUGAGCAAGGUCAUGGUAGAUUAGAUGAUAAUGUAUUUGUCUUAUGUGCGUGUGUGUCAGAACAAGUGAUCUAUUAGUUGAGCAUUAUGUAAAUUAGACUUGGCAAUAAAGCUUUGACAAGUGUAUUUGCUGUCUUAUUGUACAGUUUAUUACUAUCCAAAUUAUUCUUUGUAAACCAACUCAAAAGCUGUGAAUCGAUGAUUGCAUUUGCUAAGACAAUUUUGAAAUAUUUUAUUGGGUCUAUGUUUAUUAUUUUGGCCCUUUUCCAAGCUGGAUUGCACCAUCCAUUGCCUCUGGCAUGUGCCAUGUUUUUCAAAAUUAUGCUCCUCUAUUGCCUGGUGGUUUUUACUGCUGUCCAUGGAUAUAACUUUUGCCAACCAUGAAGAGUUGCUUAGACAAUGAAGUAAUUUUCAAUACCAAUGACACAUGCAACAAUGAUUCUACCUAAUGUUCAUCAGUACUGUAAAUGAGCUGUCGUAAACUCAUUCGCCUUUUGAGCCAUCAUCACAAUGGGUCUAUGUAUGUAGUUUGCUA